CCCACAGCUGUCCCAGCCCCGGAAGAGCAGGUUGCCUCGGGGUGACCGGCUCCCCAGACAGCUGGGGCCCCGGGUCCCACAGGUCAGGCCGGUCCCGGGAGCCCCACGCCCACCCGCCCGCCCGCCCGCCCCCCAGGGUGGAGCACAGGAAAGGGGACCCAGAAAGGCAUGGUAUGCAGUCGCCACUACGUCGCAGCCAGACACCAGGCUAGCGCCCGGACAGGUACAAUGACCCCACUAUUUGGCUUUGUAAGUUCAAAGCACGGGUUUCUGUGGUUGACCAGCACCGGAAUUCAGAGAUGGGCAGCUGGAGACAGGAGUGCAGAUCAAUCUUCUGCAGUUGCCCCUACUCAAGAUCCCUCAUUGAUGCCACGAGGGUCGCAGCAAUAAUGGACUCAUAUGAGGAAGAAGCCAAAAUCUCAACCCGCAGGUGGACCUCCGCGUUUUCUUCACCCUGGACCAGGGCUGUGAUCCUUUGGAGACCGUGUGAUUGGCACCCUCAGGUCACUCUGCAGCUGUCAAGCCCACGCGAUUUCCCAAUGUGAGGUUUCACCAUUUCCUGCCGAUUUGUUCCUAAAGGAAACCCGUCUUCCUGUCAUUUACUUCCCUCUUCCUGGCUCUCAGUUCACACCUCUCAAGGAACCAGGUGACGAGUCACCCCCUAGCACGUCUUCUCCCUCGUGCCUUCUUCCAUGUCAUUCUAGAA